rnacentral:rRNA from 1 species
AACGAACGCUGGCGGCAGGCUUAACACAUGCAAGUCGAGCGCCCCGCAAGGGGAGCGGCAGACGGGUGAGUAACGCGUGGAAUCUACCCAUCUCUACGGAAUAACGCAUGGAAACGUGUGCCAAUACCGUAUACGUCCUUCGGGAGAAAGAUUUAUCGGAGAUGGAUGAGCCCGCGUUGGAUUAGCUAGUUGGUGGGGUAAAGGCCUACCAAGGCGACGAUCCAUAGCUGGUCUGAGCGGAUGAUCAGCCACACUGGGACUGAGACACGGCCCAGACUCCUACGGGAGGCAGCAGUGGGGAAUAUUGGACAAUGGGCGCAAGCCUGAUCCAGCCAUGCCGCGUGAGUGAUGAAGGCCCUAGGGUUGUAAAGCUCUUUCACCGGUGAAGAUAAUGACGGUAACCGGAGAAGAAGCCCCGGCUAACUUCGUGCCAGCCGCCGCGGUAACAC